GGGUCAGUAGGUUGGUCGUGCCACCGGUACGUACUGGGCUCACUGAUUCCUCCUUCCUGAAGAACCGUAAUGCCAUUAAUUUGGUGUUGCGGGGAAACAGGACUGUUACUUUGAAAAAAUUAGAGUGUUUAAAGCAAGCUAACGCUUGAAUACAUUAGCAUGGAAUAAUGAAAUAGGACGAUCGAUCUUACUUUGUUGGUUUCUAGGAUUGACGUA
rnacentral:rRNA from 1 species